GGGUUAGUGGCCGAGUAGUCGAAGGCGACAGACUGUAAAUCUGUAGAGUAAUUCCACGCUGGUGCAAAUCCAGCCUAACCCA
rnacentral:tRNA from 1 species